CCUACGGGGGGCAGCAGUGAGGAAUAUUGGUCAAUGGCAGAGAUGCUGAACCAGCCAAGCCGCGUGAGGGAAGAAGGUCCUAUGGGUUGUAAACCUCUUUUGUCGGAGAACAAAAUCAGGGACGUGUGCCGGACGGAGUGUAUCUGAAGAAAAAGCAUCGGCUAACUCCGUGCCAGCAGCCGCGGUAAUACGGAGGAUGCGAGCGUUAUCCGGAUUUAUUGGGUUUAAAGGGUGCGUAGGCGGUCUGUUAAGUCAGCGGUAAAAUCGCGGGGCUCAACCCCGUCGAGCCGUUGAAACUGGCAAACUUGAGUUGGCGAGAAGUACGCGGAAUGCGCGGUGUAGCGGUGAAAUGCAUAGAUAUCGCGCAGAACUCCGAUUGCGAAGGCAGCAUACCGGCGCCAGACUGACGCUGAGGCACGAAAGCGUGGGUAUCGAACAGGAUUAGAUACCCGAGUAGUC
rnacentral:rRNA from 1 species